rnacentral:rRNA from 1 species
UACGUAGGUGGCAAGCGUUGUCCGGAUUUACUGGGCGUAAAGGGCGCGUAGGCGGCCACCGCAAGUCGACUGUGAAAUCUCCGGGCUUAACCCGGAAAGGUCAGCCGAUACUGCGGGGCUAGAGUGCAGAAGGGCAACUGGAAUUCUCGGUGUAGCGGUGAAAUGCGUAGAUAUCGAGAGGAACACCUGCGGCGAAGGCGGGUUGCUGGGCUGACACUGACGCUGAGGCGCGAAAGCUAGGGGAGCGAACGGG